UGGUUAUGAAAUAUAAGCUAGUAUACUAAUAUAUUUUACAAUUUAACUAAUUGUAGUUCGUCGUAAGGUUCAAUCAACCAGUGGUGCAGGAAAUUCAUUGUAUUAGUCAGCCUUGAUUGCAUCAGAUUCUUCGCCCGUGAAAAUUAUACAAAGGAAUGCAACAUUUUGCUUUUGCUUUAGAGGGUGGAUUCUCCUGUUCAUUUCUUUCAUUCAUGGGACUUAACUAUAUGCGUGAUUAAAAUCACAGGCCUUUAGAUCGCUUAGAAAAAAAAAUUGAGGUGUUGAAAAAAAAUAAAGGUAUGGAACUCUUUUCAUGGGGUACCUACUUUCGCCAAUAAAAUUCUUUUAAAUCAAA